UACAGAGGUCCCGAGCGUCGUUCGGAUUCAUUGGGCGUAAAGGGUGCGUAGGCGGCGGGGCAAGUCUGAUGUGAAAUCCCGGGGCUCAACCCCGGAACUGCAUUGGAUACUGCCUUGCUAGAGUACUGGAGAGGGAACUGGAAUUUACGGUGUAGCAGUGAAAUGCGUAGAGAUCGUAAGGAAGGCCAGUGGCGAAGGCGAGUUCCUGGACAGUUACUGACGCUGAGGCACGAAGGCCAGGGGAGCAAACGGG
rnacentral:rRNA from 1 species